CCAAACUUGGUCAUUUAGAGGAAGUAAAAGUCGUAACAAGGUUUCCGUAGGUGAACCUGCGGAAGGAUCAUUAAAGAGUAAGGACCUUUACACGUCCGACCUCCCAACCCUUUGUUUACUUAACUAAAUUGUUGCUUCGGCGGGCCCGUCCCUCACGGGGGACCGCCGGGGGUGUGCCGCAAGGUGCCCCUUGGCCCGCGUCCGUCGAGAGGCCAAAUCACAAACUCUUGAAAUAAUCGUGGUAUAUUCUAAGUCCCCAUAAGCAAAAUAAAGCAAAACUUUCAACAACGGAUCUCUUGGUUCUGGCAUCGAUGAAGAACGCAGC
rnacentral:misc_RNA from 1 species